rnacentral:lncRNA from 1 species
GUAUGUAACCUGAAGCGUAUGUAACCCGAGGUACCAGUGUAGUUGUUGUUCUCUUUGACAUCUGAUGGGAGGGCAUUCCACAGGGCAGGUGCCACUACUGAGAAGGCCCUCUGCCUGGUUCCCUGUAACUUGGCUUCUCGCAGCGAGGAAACUGCCAGAAGGCCCUCGGCGCUGGAACUCAGUGUCCGGGCAGAACGAUAGGGGUGGAUACUCUCCUUCACGUAGUCCUCCUCCUGUGCAAGUGGGGAUUCCCCUGUAUUAGGGGCUUUUUAGUUUAGGUGGGAGGCGAGCAAUGGGGAGCAAAACCUGUGAAUCCCUUUAUGUGUGAAGAAAGUGGGUAGAGAUGUUUUUCUCCUUCCUAAUACUAGAACCUAGCACCAUCCAAUGACACUGAAUGUUUGGAGAUUAAGGGCAGACACAGAAACUUCUUCACAUGGCUAGUGAACUAUGGAACUGGCUGCUUCUUGAUGGAGUGAUGGCCGCCAACGGGUGGUUUUAAAAUUUGUGAGGAUAAGGCUGUUAAUGGCUGUGAGCUCCUUCUGGUAUCGGAGGGCAGUAGGCCUCUGAAUACCAGUUAUUGGGAAUUGCAGGUGGGGAGAGUAGUAUUGUUCUCAAGUCCUGCUUGUGUGCUUUCCAGGAACAUCUGGUUGGCCACUGUGAUAGCAGGAUGCUAGAUUUGGUGGGCCUUUGGCCUGACCCAACAGAGCUCCUCUUAAGCUAUUUGCCUGUACCAAAGAGCCUGGAUCUUUGCAAUGGUUCCACACAGAUUGUUCAGUAAGGAUAAAUCAGAUUUAAGAGGCCAUUUCACAUAUUAUACAGAGGUCAAGCUGGGUUUGCCACCUGGUUUAAAAUCUCUGCCUGAUCACAUCUCCUGGCUGUGCAGAAAGAGGAUUGUCACAGCCACACAUUGCAUUUAAGACCUUAGCAGGCAAAGCAGAAGGUUCCUAGCUUGAGUCUGGGUGACUCUCAGGAAUGCAUAAGAAAUGUGUCCCACCCGAAAAAGGAAAGGGGAAAGUACACAUGAAAGCUCUUCCUGUUGUUCUGUACCCAGAGGCAAAACUUUAAAAAGUUACUACUCUGUAUUUGGGAGAACCAGUACAGCCUAAGUGACUCAGGGAUUGUCUUUAGCCAUUUUGCCAAGUAUGGAUAUUAUUCAUUCAGAUUUAGUCAUAGCAGGGUUUGGGGGGGGUGUUACUUUUUUUAAAGCCAAAGAGGCCCCUGGAGAGGCUUGCAAAGAUCAGUAGUGAAACAGUCCCUGCUCUCAGCUUACAAUCUUAAAAAACAUAGCACACAAGGAAAGGUGGUGUGGAGGGAAGAGGAAAAAAGAAAGCUCAGACAUUGUUCUUUUUUCUUUCUUUUUUUAAAAAAAGUAACUGGGAUAGAAACCAGUCAGGUAGGCUGAUGGAACGGCUGCCAUUAGGUGACAGUUCAGGAACAACAAAAGACACUGAUCUCCCACAGGUCUGUUUAUCAUCUCCUCCUGCUCUGCAUCUCAAUAAAAAGGCUGCCAGCUUCUGACACUUGUACUACAGUGCAGGCUGAACCAUUGGGUGAAGAGGACACUGCUUCACCAAGCUCAUUCUGCACUGGCUGUCAGCCCUGUCUGUCACCUUCCUCCUCAGUAUCAGUGCAGGGAGGAGGGUGGAGACAAAGCGACAAUAAAUUAGCCUCACCUAUUGUUGGCUCUGACUGUACCUCCCUCCUUCCCUACUGGGCACAAGCCACCACUGUUGCACCAAUAUAGUAAUUUGGGAACUAGGUGCUAACUCUGGGCAACUCGACUUCAGAUACAUAUUAAUUUCUUUGAAAAAGAGUGCUAUUUUUCAUUAACACUUUGAUCAAUAUCCUAUUCUUUUCUUUCAAGCAAGCAGCAGCAUGAGAUGGGUGUGAUGAUGAGUAUACUCGCUGAUCACAGAGGAUCAUCUGUUUUCACUUGCCAGUGCAAAUACAAUAACGUUGCCCCAGAAAUUGCUGUGAACUAAUGUAAAGCCGGCAAGUGUGAAUAUUUUAUGUGGAGAAUAAUGCUAGGCCCAGAAAACCCGGGAAGGAAAGAAACCCACUAUUCAAAGAAUUUAAGUUUGGCACUAUUGAGGUUAUGGAAUUCUGCCUUAUCAAAUGCAAGGAGCUUCUACUCCUAAAUACAGUUCGCUGUGCGUUUCACCGCUGUCUUUAAAGAUAAGUCAAAAGCACUCCCUCGCCAAGACAUACAGAAAUUUGCGAUCCAUCUAGCCAAGUCCAGCCCAUCAAGCGGAGGCACCUCAGUUCCAGGGGCCAAACAUUCAUCUCUAGGCCUCUCUCUCUCUGCCCCCCAAACUCUCCCCAGGGCACACCCUUUGCUGGGACUGCACAACACCCUAAGUGUUUUUUGCCUGGGUUCCAAGUUUAUUUUUAUUUAUUGAUUCAAAUUUGUAGAUCUCACAGUGGCUCGCGACAUAAAAAUACAAGAUGAAAACA